GGUUAAGCGACUAAGCGUACACGGUGGAUGCCCUGGCAGUCAGAGGCGAUGAAGGGCGUGCUAAUCUGCGAUAAGCGCCGGUAAGGUGAUAUGAACCGUUAUAACCGGCGAUACCCGAAUGGGGAAACCCAGUGUGAUUCGUCACACUAUCAUUAACUGAAUCCAUAGGUUAAUGAGGCGAACCGGGGGAACUGAAACAUCUAAGUACCCCGAGGAAAAGAAAUCAACCGAGAUUCCCCCAGUAGCGGCGAGCGAACGGGGAGGAGCCCAGAGCCUGAAUCAGCAUGUGUGUUAGUGGAAGCGUCUGGAAAGGCGCGCGAUACAGGGUGACAGCCCCGUACACAAAAGCGCAUGUGCUGUGAGCUCGAUGAGUAGGGCGGGACACGUGGUAUCCUGUCUGAAUAUGGGGGGACCAUCCUCCAAGGCUAAAUACUCCUGACUGACCGAUAGUGAACCAGUACCGUGAGGGAAAGGCGAAAAGAACCCCGGCGAGGGGAGUGAAAAAGAACCUGAAACCGUGUACGUACAAGCAGUGGGAGCACAGGUUUACCUGUGUGACUGCGUACCUUUUGUAUAAUGGGUCAGCGACUUAUAUUCUGUAGCAAGGUUAACCGUAUAGGGGAGCCGUAGGGAAACCGAGUCUUAACCGGGCGUUAAGUUGCAGGGUAUAGACCCGAAACCCGGUGAUCUAGCCAUGGGCAGGUUGAAGGUUGGGUAACACUAACUGGAGGACCGAACCGACUAAUGUUGAAAAAUUAGCGGAUGACCUGUGGCUGGGGGUGAAAGGCCAAUCAAACCGGGAGAUAGCUGGUUCUCCCCGAAAGCUAUUUAGGUAGCGCCUCGUGAAUUCAUCUCCGGGGGUAGAGCACUGUUUCGGCUAGGGGGCCAUCCCGGCUUACCAACCCGAUGCAAACUGCGAAUACCGGAGAAUGUUAUCACGGGAGACACACGGCGGGUGCUAACGUCCGUCGUGAAGAGGGAAACAACCCAGACCGCCAGCUAAGGUCCCAAAGUCAUGGUUAAGUGGGAAACGAUGUGGGAAGGCCCAGACAGCCAGGAUGUUGGCUUAGAAGCAGCCAUCAUUUAAAGAAAGCGUAAUAGCUCACUGGUCGAGUCGGCCUGCGCGGAAGAUGUAACGGGGCUAAACCAUGCACCGAAGCUGCGGCAGCGACACUGUGUGUUGUUGGGUAGGGGAGCGUUCUGUAAGCCUGUGAAGGUGGCCUGUGAGGGUUGCUGGAGGUAUCAGAAGUGCGAAUGCUGACAUAAGUAACGAUAAAGCGGGUGAAAAGCCCGCUCGCCGGAAGACCAAGGGUUCCUGUCCAACGUUAAUCGGGGCAGGGUGAGUCGACCCCUAAGGCGAGGCCGAAAGGCGUAGUCGAUGGGAAACGGGUUAAUAUUCCCGUACUUGGUGUUACUGCGAAGGGGGGACGGAGAAGGCUAUGUUGGCCGGGCGACGGUUGUCCCGGUUUAAGCGUGUAGGUGUGUGUUCCAGGUAAAUCCGGUUCACUUUAACACUGAGGCGUGACGACGAGGCACUACGGUGCUGAAGCAACAAAUGCCCUGCUUCCAGGAAAAGCCUCUAAGCAUCAGGUAACAUCAAAUCGUACCCCAAACCGACACAGGUGGUCAGGUAGAGAAUACCAAGGCGCUUGAGAGAACUCGGGUGAAGGAACUAGGCAAAAUGGUGCCGUAACUUCGGGAGAAGGCACGCUGACACGUAGGUGAAGUGAUUUACUCAUGGAGCUGAAGUCAGUCGAAGAUACCAGCUGGCUGCAACUGUUUAUUAAAAACACAGCACUGUGCAAACACGAAAGUGGACGUAUACGGUGUGACGCCUGCCCGGUGCCGGAAGGUUAAUUGAUGGGGUCAGCGCAAGCGAAGCUCCUGAUCGAAGCCCCGGUAAACGGCGGCCGUAACUAUAACGGUCCUAAGGUAGCGAAAUUCCUUGUCGGGUAAGUUCCGACCUGCACGAAUGGCGUAAUGAUGGCCAGGCUGUCUCCACCCGAGACUCAGUGAAAUUGAACUCGCUGUGAAGAUGCAGUGUACCCGCGGCAAGACGGAAAGACCCCGUGAACCUUUACUAUAGCUUGACACUGAACAUUGAGCCUUGAUGUGUAGGAUAGGUGGGAGGCUUUGAAGCGUGGACGCCAGUCUGCGUGGAGCCAACCUUGAAAUACCACCCUUUAAUGUUUGAUGUUCUAACGUGGACCCGUAAUCCGGGUUGCGGACAGUGUCUGGUGGGUAGUUUGACUGGGGCGGUCUCCUCCUAAAGAGUAACGGAGGAGCACGAAGGUUGGCUAAUCCUGGUCGGACAUCAGGAGGUUAGUGCAAUGGCAUAAGCCAGCUUGACUGCGAGCGUGACGGCGCGAGCAGGUGCGAAAGCAGGUCAUAGUGAUCCGGUGGUUCUGAAUGGAAGGGCCAUCGCUCAACGGAUAAAAGGUACUCCGGGGAUAACAGGCUGAUACCGCCCAAGAGUUCAUAUCGACGGCGGUGUUUGGCACCUCGAUGUCGGCUCAUCACAUCCUGGGGCUGAAGUAGGUCCCAAGGGUAUGGCUGUUCGCCAUUUAAAGUGGUACGCGAGCUGGGUUUAGAACGUCGUGAGACAGUUCGGUCCCUAUCUGCCGUGGGCGCUGGAGAACUGAGGGGGGCUGCUCCUAGUACGAGAGGACCGGAGUGGACGCAUCACUGGUGUUCGGGUUGUCAUGCCAAUGGCACUGCCCGGUAGCUAAAUGCGGAAGAGAUAAGUGCUGAAAGCAUCUAAGCACGAAACUUGCCCCGAGAUGAGUUCUCCCUGAGACUUAGAGUCUCCUGAAGGAACGUUGAAGACGACGACGUUGAUAGGCCGGGUGUGUAAGCGCAGCGAUGCGUUGAGCUAACCGGUACUAAUGAACCGUGAGGCUUAACCUU
rnacentral:rRNA from 1 species